rnacentral:lncRNA from 1 species
GAUGAACUUCACAGGGUGGUGAAAGUGCAAGGUGAUGAGCAUGAUGUUCUUUUCCAAUAAAUAUCGAGGGUCUUAUUCUGGUUGAUCGAGGCUUGGCUGCCGUUUGACAAGUAAGGAAUAAUCAAAGAAGGGCUAUGCGUUAAAUAAUUAUAUGGAAAAUAUUGAAUUGUGUGGAAGGUGUGUUCCACACCGCGCUAGAGGAGUUGAUCUGAUCUUCCACAGAGUUGCAUUAUUUUCCAGAGAACACAGAGCCCCUACUUGAUUAUCCUUUUUAUACCAAGGCUACAACUGAACACAUUUGCCACUAGAAAUGUGUUCAUUUGCUGGAAGAAUAACACGUUUACUAGAUCGCUACAGUAGUUGUCGUGGUAACCAAACAAACAUACAUGCUAUAUUUUUAGCUAACCAAACCAUCCGACUUAGCAUGCUGUUAUGAAAAUUGAAUUCACCAAUACUUCAUCACCACUUAAGUUUUGAUAUUGUGUAGGACGUGUGAUUGCUCUGGUCUAGCUGUUCUUUAUCUGAACGCUGUAACAAAGAAAGUAACUGUAGUCUUGGCUAGCUACAGAUUUACUGUCACUUUUUUUUUAUUUGAAGAAAUGUUGAAGAACAAAUAGCUUCCAAGAUGGAUCGGGUAAGUUUGGUUUUAUUUACAGUAUGCCUACUGUGGUGUAUAACAUGUCUAGGCCUAUUUUUCGUCAUCUUUGAUCUUCCAUUUCCAUUUGAACAGCUGGACAAAAUAAACAAUGAUGGUAAUUAAAAAAAAAAUUAAAAAAAUACUGUUUCUGGUUAGCAUCGCUAUCGCCUUGUGUAGCCCCGCCCACUAGACACAGUUCCAUUCGAACGCGAUCGUGUUUGUUUCCGUUUGACAACUUCCGUCAACGCUAGCGAAUUACCUCAGAGCGGUGGCUAACACAUCAUAACAAAUAAACAAAAACGAAACAUGGAUCACCAGGAGGAGGGAAAUGGAUUGGUAUGUAGCGACCCGCACAGACAGUUGUGGGUUAUGUGUUAGGCUAUUAGUGGGUUGUGUCGUACUUACCAGUGUUCGCGGGGUCAUGCCAAUCAACCUGCUAUCUGCCAAUCACGGGAAUGCCUGGAAUGUUCUGAUACCGGGCAGCCUGGUGGUUGGCGUGGUGGUUGGGCAGGGGGAUGGAGCAUUGGAAGUUAAGAACGGGUUUAGCCAUUGUUCUCUCUCUUACGUCUGGGCUUCACAAGAGAAGGUCAUGGUUGGUUUGUAGUGUACCUUUCAUUUAUUUGGCGUGGGCUACGGCCAAACAGUAGCCUGUGUUAAGUUAAGUUAAACCGUCCAUUCGUUAACUCCAUCCUCUGUCUGGACAAUUGUUCCUUCAUGAUCUAGUCAGGUCAUUACAGGUAUUUUUGAAGGUGGAUGUUCAGCCCAGCCAAUCAAGCAGCUCUUACCACUCUACUUGGGUACUUGUAUCCUACAACGGAUCAGUAGAGACGGCUGAGGGAUUUUACAGGCAUGCUGGGAAUAUGAGCUUUGGGUGGGUAAUACCCAGGUGAAGGAGAUGGGAAUGUAUGGAAGGGAGUUUAGCCCAACGGUAGCUAUUCCUGUAAAUCCACCAUGGCUACUCCCACCUCCAGUAGUAGAUCUAGAAGUAUUGGAGAGACUACAGAAAGAUAAGGAGGGUCUUGAUCCAUCUGAUUUGUUUAAGGGAAGUCUUGAUACUGUGUAUCAGGAUGUUGUGGCCAUAUACACAGAUGGUUCAAAAGAUCCAAGGACAGGACAUACUGGGUCAGCAUUUGUAGUGCAGGAAUCUGGGGUGAAAGUCAGAUCAUCUGGUUGUAUAUACAGAUGAGAUGGUGGCCAUACUGUUGUCCUUGCAGUGGGUGGAGGAAGUUGAGCCAGAAAGAGUAGUUAUUUGCUCUGAUUCUCCAGUCCUUUUAUAUCAAGACAAGUCCUGCUUUGUGAGGUGCUACAAACCCAUGGCAGGAGUAAACAAAUGGAUAUACAGCUAAUAUUUACAUGGGUCCCAGCUUAUGUGGGAGUGCAGGGGAACGAGGCAGUUGAUGUACUGGCUAAACAAGCACUAAGUAGUGGGGAUGUUGAUGUGGAAGUUUCAAUGAGCAAGGCAGAGGCAAAAAGCGAUGGUGGAGAAAUGGCAAGAGCAGUGGAAUAGAGAUACUUAGGCCAGGCAUUUAUUUUCAAGUACAGAGGAAAGUUGGGGAGAACGGCAGGAAGGGACAGAAGAGAGGAGGCUUUAUUUACACGAUUAAUGGUGGGACACAGCUAGUUGAAUAAGACCUUACAUGUGAUAGGAAAGCAUCCAACAGGACAAUGUGAGUAUUGCCAGGAAACAGACAGUGGAACAUGUAUUGAUACAGUGUGGACAUUGGAGGGAAAGAGGGAAGGGGAUACAGGAAUUAGUUUAAAUAGUAUAUUGAGUAGAACGUCAUUAGAUAUAGUCUCAAAUAUUUUGUUAUUUUUUUAAGAGCAACGGGGCUAGCAGGUAGGAUUUAGUUUCUCCCUGUCUCUGGCCCACACUCUAGUACAGUAGGUGGCGGUAAUGCACCAUAACGUUGGAUGCCAACCGCCGAUAAACCCCACCCUAGAAGAAGUAGAGCUGGCUGGAUGAUUUUCGUCGCUGGCGUUGGAAAGUCAAGCAGCCUCAAUGUUGUUGUGAAAGGUGCAGUGUCCAGUGGGCUAACUGGCAUAGCCUGCACAGAUGAGCAGCGACAAUGGAAUGCAGGGACUCGGAGGAACCUUGAGCCAAAGCGGUUAAACAGCAUUGACUUCACACACUAUAAGGCCAGUGACCAAUAUGCAGAAAAGCGUCCCCUGCCUCCCACUCCUGUAUUCCACUCACAGGAGGAAUUGAAUAGGAGCCUGAGACACCUGAAUCUGCCUGUGGGGAGUCUGCUCUAUAAGUGGGUUAAUGCUGAACCAACAAUAACAUCACAGCCAGUAGCAUCCCAGCUAAAAUUUGGACUGAAAGGAAUAUUUAUUUGUGGCUGUACCAUUUUAAUGUAUUUGAAGAUAAUGAGCUGAUGGCCUCCCAGUGGCUGGAAGACUGUGGAUACUCUGUGGACCACAGAGGCACUGUUGUCAGUGUUGAAGAGCCAUGGCUAUCAUCAAGCCCUGACAGAGUGCUGAACUCCAAGGAGCUGUUGGAGAUCAAGUGUCCUGUCAUGGGGAAGGCUUCUAGGGCCCUAUGAUUUCCGCGAUGUGGAAAACGAACAGAAUCGCAGAAUUUGGUAAUAAAAAUGGAAUCAACUGUAGAAUGUGGAAUUUUGCAGAAUUUGGCUGAAAUUGAUUUAAAAAAAAAUCUAAAGUAGGCCUAAUUAUUGUAGUAACGUAAAUUAUUUCAUAAUUAUAGACGAUUAUGCCUAGGAAAAUAGUGUCCAUGUAACCGGUCUCUGUCAUGUCAUCAAUCUGGUGGGUGAGACCUGGCAGCACUACAAAUACUUCUCUGUAGUUGCAUCACUUGUGACAUGGAUGAGAUCUGUCUUCUUCAAGAAGCCUGGCAGAAAGAGAAGAUGGGUGAUGACAGCUCUGUCACUCCUGGAAAGAACCCACCAUCCCACAGCAGUGUCUGCAUACAAUGACAUGGAGGAUCUGGGCUCUUACCUAGUGAAUGGAACAGCAAAAACAUGUGGGUAUGGUGCCAAGACAGAUGAGCUAUUGAGAAAGAUGGGGAUUGGAGGGAGGUGCUUGACCGUCUCUGAUGCAUUCCACUUGGCCUUCAAAGUUGUCAAAACACUGGGACACACAUCCAGCGAGGGAGGUCUACAGGCUGGCUAGGGUGUUCGAUCCUAGGCAGGCUCCAGCCAUGGAAAAGCAGAUUGAAGGCUACACACAACUGAAACCCAUGGCAAGCCCAUCAUCAGAGCUCAGUGAAAAAUGUGUCCAGGGAGCCCUCACCUGCUUUGGAGCUUGCUGAUUACUGGAGGGGCCUGAGUGUGAGAUUCCCAAGAGUUGCAGAAGUGGCAGUGGCCUACAUCUACUUCCCACUCAGCUCAGUUGACUGUGAGAGGAGUUUCAGCAAAUACAAGACUACUUACAGACAAGCGAGAAGCACUCACUGAGCUCAAAACAGAGGCUGACAAUCAUGUACUUCAAUGGAGAUGUCAGUGAUAGAUGGAAAACUUACAAUGGACAGACAUAGGAGCUCAUAAGGUAGUUCCAUAGGUUUUUCUUAUUGCUGCAUUGUUGCCUAGAUUCUUGCAUUACCUUUUCUUUAAUGAAACACUUAGAACUCUGUACUGAAGCACUUGCCUUUAUUUUUUUUUUAAAUAGUGCAAUGUUGUGUUGCAUCAUUACAAAGGUACUGUUAUCUUAUUUGAUGUUUUAUUCAUUCAUAUUACUAGACACGCUUUCUGAUGAUAAAAUUAGCAUAAAUCGUAAAACAUAGAAUUCAGAAACAUUUUCACAGAAAAAUUGAAUUUGAGAAAAAAUAUAAUGGAAUUUUGAAAAAAUAAAACGGAUUUCAUAGGGCCCUAGGAAGGGCUGUGAUUCUCUGGAUGAUGUCUUCAAUGGGAAAGCCUGUGAUGUGAAGGUGGUGGGGGGCACACCCUAACUGCAACCACAUGGGCCACGUGGCUACUACAUGCAGCUGCAAAUUGGUAUGUUUUGCACAAGACUGAGACAAAGUAAGGUGCUCAUUUGGACUCUGUCCCGGCAAGUUGUCAUCCCCGUUCCCUAUGAUGCACAGGUCUGUGCAGAGGCUGUCCUGAGGUUGAAGGCAUUCUACUCAACACAUGCUGUCAUUUAUUGUUAAGAAGCAUCAGGCAGGCAGCUUGUCACUGAGUGACAAAUAUAUGCAGCUCUGUACACGUAUGUAGUUAGAUGUCUCUCCUGUUUGCAGUUACUAUUAACACAUUGUUUUUCAAUUAAAAAGCCUGACUUAAUGCAUCAACAGUCACAGUAUUGUGAAAAUUGUUUUUAUGGCUUUGUUUUUUAUUAAUAUUAAUGAGUAUGUAAAACAAAUAAUUAAGUAAAGUUGUUAUAGAAUGAAUUGAAAUGUAUUUAACGUAACUUUUGACAACUUUAAUUCAUAUUUGGAAAUCAACCCUGUGAAUGGCAUUUGACUGAUCAGUUCAUUCAGCAUCUUUAUGAAUGAUAUCACCACACAGGUCAGCACAGGUUACACAGGUCAGCACAGAUUCAAAGUAGUUUGUCAAUUUCAGAUGAGAGGUUGAUUGGCACUGUUUGUGAGAUGAUUCUAAACGACUUGAGCCUUUGAAGUACGCGUUCCACAUGAACCCUCACAUUAGCUAUCCGUCUUGUACAUAUGGUGUCCUCUGACAGCUGUGUGCCUCUUUUUGUGAAGGCUGGAAUUGUAAAUUCGACCUUCCUCUCGUGUAGCAGAUCAGAUUGUGAAGCUCCGGUCAGCCACGACCUUAUCACCUGGACAAAGGUACUCCAGGAACCCAGAAUCCGAUGUUAUAUAUUUGUCACUAAAUCUACCUCCAUAUGCUGAGGAGAUGAACACCACUAGACCACAAGGUGCAAUGGCCAUCAGGUACUUGAUAGUGUUCUGGGCAUAGUAAUGGCUGAAUGACUCCCCUCUUGAAUCCAGGUUCUUGCACUUCUGUAAAGCAGUUUCUGAGCAGUCAAUAAUGCAGGUUGUUCCUGGGCAGUGGUCCUUAAAACAUUGUCACAUAGUAGCAUGGAUGGGGUCUCCCUUGGCAACCAUGGAAUGUACUACCUCCGAUUCUCUUCCAUCAUGUCAAUCCAAUAACUAAUCACUUGACUGACAAUACUCUGG